UCCGCGCCUCCUAUGUAUACGCAUAUUAUAAUAUUAUACAUGAUUAUAUCGACAUAUCGUACGGCAUAUAUAAUGUUUUAUUCUACAUUUUAUAUAAUAUCGUAAUAAACCAGUUAUCGUUUAUCGGCCGCUAAUGAUAUUACGCAUAUAGGACAUAUUGUAAUAUUACUAUGUUUUACGUACAAGUCAGUACCCAUUUGGAAGUUAUUUGCACGCGCCUGACUGCGGCAAAGUUCACCGUGCCGAGUUAUCAUCGUUAUAAACGGUAAAUAGAAUGUUCCAAGAGUUUCACUUUCGUCGAAUGGAACAAAAAAGUACAUCAAUUUUGCGAUGCUUCAGUAUUCAAUCAAUAAACCGCCAAAUUUCAGGAUUUCCGCCAAGCCAACUUCUUUUAUUAACAGAAAAGGUGCAACGAUUCCGACACAAAGUUCAUCAGUUAUAAUCAUCCUAUACAUUUCGCCAAUUUGGAACUAGUAAUGAUGACUGAUGAAUACACUGUAUACAGACAUAAUAUGAUGUUAAUAACUCAAAAACUAUACUUGUUCGAUAAAAUAACAGGGAUUGCAGAUUCACACUUGAAAAAAUUGUUUUUUAUUUCCACAGUAUACUUCUAAAAUGAUGAAAAAAAUCUGAAUUUUUGAAAGUGAAGUCAUUA